UAGACAUGCUAGUCGAGCGCUUCAGCCAAAACGAGGCGCGGCAUACAGCUCAGUAACACGUGGCUAAUCUGCCCUUGGGACAAGAACAACCCCGGGAAACUGGGGCUAAUUCUUGAUAGGCGAAGAACUCUGGAAUGAGUCUUCACCCAAUAGAUUCAAAGUUAUGCUCUUUGAAUCGCCCAAGGAUGAGGCCGCGACCGAUCAGGUUGUUGGUGAGGUAAUGGCUCACCAAGCCUUUUACCGGUGCGGGCCGUGAGAGCGGGAGCCCGGAGAUGGGCACUGAGACAAGGGCCCAGGCCCUACGGGGCGCAGCAGUCGCGAAAACUUUGCAAUAAGCGAAAGCUUGACAGGGCUAUCCCGAGUGCCAUCCGCUGAGGAAGGCUUUUACCCAGUCUAGAACGCUGGGGGAAUAAGGAGAGGGCAAGUCUGGUGUCAGCCGCCGCGGUAAUACCAGCUCUCCGAGUGGUGUGGAUGUUUAUUGGGCCUAAAGCAUCCGUAGCUGGCUAAGUUAGUCCCUUGUUAAAUCCACCGAAUUAAUCGUUGGAUUGCGGGGGAUACUGCUUGGCUAGGGAACGAGAGAGGCAGACGGUAUUUCCGGGGUAGGGGUGAAAUCCUAUAAUCCCGGGAAGACCACCAGUGGCGAAGGCUGUCUGCUAGAACGCGUCCGACGGUGAGGGAUGAAAGCUGGGGGAGCGAACCGGAUUAGAUACCCGGGUAGUCCCAGCUGUAAACGAUGCAGACUAGGUGUUUGGACGGCCACGUGCCGUUCUAGUGCCGCAGGGAAGCUGUUAAGUCUGCCGCCUGGGGAGUACGAUCGCAAGAUUGAAACUUAAAGGAAUUGGCGGGGGAGCACCACAAGGGGUGAAGCUUGCGGUUUAAUUGGAGUCAACGCCGGAAAUCUCACCGGGAGCGACAGCAGUAUGAAGGCCAGAUUAAAG
rnacentral:rRNA from 1 species